rnacentral:rRNA from 1 species
GGAUUAGAUACCCUGGUAGUCUACGCUGUAAACGAUGAGUGCUAGGUAUUGGAGCUUUAAAGCUUCGGUUCCGCAGUUAACACGUUAAGCACUCCGCCUGGAGACUACGGUCGCAAGACUAAAACUUAAAGGAAUUGACGGGGGCCCGCACAAGCGGUGGAGCAUGCGGUUUAAUUCGAUAUUACGCGAAAAACCUUACCAACUCUUGACAUGAUAACAGUAAACGUAGAGAUAUGUUUGUCAGUUAGGCUGGGUUAUCACAGGUGCUGCAUGGCUGUCGUCAGCUCGUGCCG